UUUUGGGCUGAGGUCAGAGGGUGUAACAGCCUGGGCCCUCUAAAGUGGCACAGGGUGUGUCCUGCUCUCCUCCCAUGGCUGGCCUUCCUUCGUGUAGCACCUGCUGACAUCCGGGAUCAUCUCCAUUUCCUCAGACAAUGCUGAAUGUUCCCAGAGGUGGGAACCAGACAGAGACCUGAGCAGGGUCUUCCAGGAGUGCCCUGCCCUAGAGCAGCAUGUGGCAAUCUGCCAGGUGGCUCUUUAUGUCUUGUAGGCACCAGGCAAUGAUUCCACCUCAUCUCUCAGAGAAUCCAACAGACAACCCAUCAAGAAGGCCAAGUUAUCUCCUCCAGUCACAGAUGUGGAAACUAAGGCUAAUAGCACAGCCUGGGUUCACUAGUAAAACAAGCUAGGAACCUCCCACAUCUCUGACAACUGCUCCCCAUGGAGGUCGCCUCCCUUUGGACCUGCAUGUGUUUGCUCUUCAUCCCAGGAACACAUGGACUUUGGAGUAUUUUGGGAAGAGAGGCCUGGGAAACGUUUCUCUGGAGUUGGGUUGUGAGUAACCCUUUUCCCCUAUGUGGUGUCACUGUCCAGCUUUCUGCAUUUCCUUCUUUAUGUUUUCACCAAAGGGGCAACAACCAUGUCUUCUCUGGCAUCAGGCUGUUUUGUCACAGAAGGAACAGGGGCCUCUACCCCAAGGUUAUGACCAAUUUUACCAAAGGGGUCUAAUUUUUUCACAUCCAACUUUUAAUCCUUUGGGGAUUUCAAUAUCAAAUGAGAAAAAUUCUGUUUCAAAUAAACACAAAAUACAAAAAUUAA